rnacentral:rRNA from 1 species
UACACACCGCCCGUCGCUACUACCGAUUGAAUGAUUUAGUGAGGUCUUCGGACUGGUGCGCGGCAAUGUAGUUCUACGUUGCCGAUUGUGCCGGGAAAAUGACCAAACUUGAUCAUUUAGAGGAAGUAAAAGUCGUAACAAGGUUUCCGUAGGUGAACAUGCGGAAGGAUCAUUA